rnacentral:rRNA from 1 species
CAGUAGCCGCGGUAAUACGAAGGGGGCUAGCGUUGUUCGGAUUUACUGGGCGUAAAGCGCACGUAGGCGGAUCGAUCAGUCAGGGGUGAAAUCCCAGAGCUCAACUCUGGAACUGCCUUUGAUACUGUCGAUCUGGAGUAUGGAAGAGGUGAGUGGAAUUCCGAGUGUAGAGGUGAAAUUCGUAGAUAUUCGGAGGAACACCAGUGGCGAAGGCGGCUCACUGGUCCAUUACUGACGCUGAGGUGCGAAAGCGUGGGGAGCAAACAGGAUUAGAUACCCCAGUAGUCCCUGUCUCUUAUAC